rnacentral:rRNA from 1 species
AUUGAACGCUGGCGGCAUGCCUUACACAUGCAAGUCGAACGGCAGCACGGACUUCGGUCUGGUGGCGAGUGGCGAACGGGUGAGUAAUAUAUCGGAACAUACCUUGUAGUGGGGGAUAACUAUCCGGAAGAGUGGCUAAUACCGCAUGAGAUCUACGGAUGAAAGCAGGGGAUCGCAAGACCUUGUGCUACUAGAGCGGCCGAUGGCAGAUUAGGUAGUUGGUGGGAUAAAAGCUUACCAAGCCGACGAUCUGUAGCUGGUCUGAGAGGACGAUCAGCCACACUGGGACUGAGACACGGCCCAGACUCCUACGGGAGGCAGCAGUGGGGAAUUUUGGACAAUGGGCGCAAGCCUGAUCCAGCAAUGCCGCGUGCAGGAUGAAGGCCUUCGGGUUGUAAACUGCUUUUGUACGGAACGAAAAGCCCUGGGUUAAUACCCUGGGGUCAUGACGGUACCGUAAGAAUAAGCACCGGCUAACUACGUGCCAGCCGCCGCCGUAAAAC